rnacentral:tRNA from 1 species
UGGAUCACCUCCUAACAGGGAGACAACAAAAUGUUUAAUAUUAUUAUUUUGUCACCUUAGGUCGAUCGGUAUCUCACGUUUUUAAUUUAUUAAGAAUUUCAUUUCCUAAGUUUUUCUAGGUCACACCCAUUAUUUUUCCUGGGCCAUUAGCUCAGGUGGUUAGAGCGCACCCCUGAUAAGGGUGAGGUCCCUGGUUCAAGUCCAGGAUGGCCCAUAUCUCUAUGUUGGGGGUAUAGCUCAGUUGGUAGAGCGCCUGCUUUGCAAGCAGGAUGUCAGCGGUUCGAGUCCGCUUACCUCCACUGAUUACCACCUCUUCCAUAACCGGUAGAAAGGAAAUGUUUUGAGUCGUGAUCAAAUUCUGAAAGAAUCUAGCUUCCUAAUGAAAUCAUUAAGAUGCUGGACUCAUUGAAUUAAUUUCAUUGUUUUCAGAGAACCUUGACAACUGCAUAGAUUAUUUUUUAAAGACAAUAAGCAUCUUUAAUGAUGCAGAUUUAUUAUUUGUGCGAAUGCAUUAAUAACAAUUCUAUUAAGCUGAUGCUUCAAUUUUUGAAGUUAUUGGUCAAGCUACAAAGGGCUCACGGAGGAUACCUAGGCACACAGAGGCGAUGAAGG